AUGUUUACAAGGACGAAGGGAAGUUCUCCGGGGUGGCCCAACCACACACGGCGUCCGCCCCCGAGAAAUAGAGCAUGCUUCGCUAAGUCAUCCUCCGCAAGUGCAAGUCCUUCUCUGAUCGCUAUGGCUUCUAGCGUCUCCGGAUCCCCGAUGUGCCUCGCCGCCGCCCGGCUGGAUAUGGACGAGGCCCAUAGAAAAUACUACCCAGUGACGGCCCAGGUUAUACGUCGUUCGGCCCUGUACCCAUCGCGCUCCCGUGAACGAGAUGGACACGGACCUGGUCUCUUCUUCUGCUUCUACCGGCGAAACGCGACGGCGGCCGAGAUCCGCGCCGCGCAGCCUCGCCGCCGCCGGCGCGGCAACUCCGCGGGUGGUGAGGCGGACGCGCACCUCCACAACGACCCGGGCGAUGCCGCCGUCCCGGCGCUCCUCGACUCCCGCUUCGACGGCGACAAGUUCGACGCGCCUAAGCACCUUCUCGCCCUCAUCUCUCCACGCAGAAAGUGCAAGGGGCUGCCAUGUGUUCCUUGUGCAGACAUCAUGUCCUCCAGCCUCAUGGAGCUACUCAUCAUGAUUGAUGCGUGUAUAAGAUCAUCUGCUAAGAAGAUUACUGCAGUUAUCCCUUAUUUCGGUUAUGCCAGGGCUGAAAGGAAGGUAAUGACAAAACCUAAUAUGAUUACGGAAGCUGGUGCAAACCGUGUCCUUGUUUGUGAUCUUCAUUCAAGUCAGGCCACGGGAUAUUUUGGCAUCCCAGUAGAUCAUGUUUAUGGCCAGCAGGAACUAUUGCCAAAGAAGAUGAGCUGCUGCAUCAAGGAGCAAGAGAAGUCUAUGCAUGUUGUACACAUGCUGUUUAGACCUAUCACCAAAAGACCUUCAAGAUGCAAAAGUUUGCAUCUUCAAUUGUACAAAGUGCAACUUAGUCAGAGUUUCUCCUCUCUCAAGCUUAAGCCUUUCUUUGAACCGAACCUAUCCCAAGAAACCCAGCCUAGCUAUCAAGGAUGUGAUCGUGAUUUUGAACCAAAUUUUAGGGAGCAUUAUGAGAUUUUAGGUGGAUUUAGUUACGUGAUUGUGCUCUUCAAGAUACUCCAUGCAGCCAGGAAAACAACCUCAAAGAAGAAAGGUGAUUGUCAUCUUGAAGCAAAUUUGAUGAUGGAUUAUGAGGUUUUGAUGGAUUUAGUUAGGUUGUGGGUCACGCGCUUGAUUAAGCACCCUAGGUUCUCCUACUGUGCGCCCUUGGCCCCGGCUUUAGGUAGCGCCUUGUCCUCGGCUCGUCCCGUGCAUAAUCCAGGUACGCGUCGACUGUCCGAGCUCUUGCUCACCAUUGGUGGUGCUCGAGCGUGCGGUUAUGGUGUCGCACAACAAGGGAACACGGGAUGUGGGAUUGAGACAGCACCCAUAGCAACCCGCAGCAAGGCAAAGGGUGCCCAUCCAGACUGGCAGUGA
rnacentral:rRNA from 1 species